rnacentral:rRNA from 1 species
UACGAAGGGUGCAAACGUUGCUCGGAAUCAUUGGGCGUAAAGCGCCCGUAGGCGGCCUGGUAAGUCGGAUGUGAAAUCCCACGGCUCAACCGUGGAAGUGCAUCCGAAACUGCUUGGCUCGAGUAUGGAAGAGGGUCGCAGAAUUCCCGGUGUAGAGGUGAAAUUCGUAGAUAUCGGGAGGAAUACCAGUGGCGAAGGCGGCGACCUGGGCCAAUACUGACGCUGAGGUGCGAAAGCGUGGGGAGCAAACAGG